ensembl:lncRNA
GUUUCUCUUCAUGCUUGGUUUCCUACAGAGCUUUCUGGACAUGGGCACAGGCCUUCUGUUAGCUCCUAUGACUGCUGUGCAAGGUGAUUGCAUGGGGGAACAGAUUACCCAGAGCAGAUGUGGAUUCUACAGCCCAGUUUUUUCAAAAUCCCGAGAAACCUGAUCUGAAUUCAACGUUAACCCUGCUUUGUGGACAAGACUGGGUGAAAUGACCUCCUGAGGUUCCUUCCAACCUAAAGAUCUUCAUAGCAGAUUUUACAUCCCAGUGAUUUGAGAAGUUGCAUUCAAAACAAGGGACAUACGCUCCUCCCAGAACAGAAUUUUUGUCUAUGGUGUUUUAAGAAAAAACAACCAGUUGCUCCAUCUGUCAGUAAACCUCUUCCAAGAAGAAGGAAAUAUCAACACAACACAAAAUGUGAUUGCCCUUUGAAAGCAAAAAAUACCAGGCAGUGUAACCUUUAGAUGCAGCACAUAAUGGGAGACAAUCAUCUGACAAAAAACAGAAGAGAGUUUGCAACUCUGACAUUUAUUUCCCCGUGAUUUAAAAGAAUGCACUGCUCAGCAUACACAGCUGCAGCCCUGCUUGUCCUGCUUUGUAACAGCCUUGCCCUGCUGGAACCACCUGAUGAUAGCAAAUUUCAGUCCUCUGGGUCACCUGCUCUACUGGGAUGGAGAAGCUAUCCGUAUUUUUGCAUGUAACACCAUCAGAGGUCCCUGACAUUUAAAUACAGACGACUCAUGAGGAUCCAGCCUUGGAGGAUGACCUUGUUGAACGCAGGUGGGAAUGGUGAGGACUUGCACCACUCCAAUGCUUUACUGAGUUUCAGUGGGAAAGUGGGAAGAAACAGUGAUGGGACUCUCAGUAAGGCCACAUAUGCAAGGUGCAGUCGAGACACCAGGUUGGGUUCUUUAGAACUGGCUCAGGAAAGGGAGCUUGCUGGCAUGCACUGUGCUCCCGCUGGUGUGCUCUAGAAAGUAUCUGGCCAUCAGGAGAGUUUCUCCUGAGCAGCAGAUGAUGUGAUGGAAAAAAUAACAACUAGUGUUUUCAAUGGAGUGAAAAAGGCAAAGUGUGGUGGCAAUAAAAUAAAACCUUUGAACUCUGUAAUCGUGAAGCAAGCUACAUUUUUCACCGUGAGCAAAGAGCACAGCUCAAGGUUCACUUUGAAGCUAACUUCUCCCUUCUUUUCUUUUUUUUUCCCUUCCUUCCUUUUAACCUAGCUUAAACUUCAGGCUCACAGUAUCUGACAGUGUUUUUCUAAAUAAUGAAAGAGAGCCAUGCUAUCCAAGGCACUCCUGACGGGCAGUGUGAAGACAGACCUUCCUUCACACUGUGGCUUUUCUACCUAAACAGAUGGAAGUUCCCCUCCCUCCCACUGCUUUCCAGCACUCCUUACAUCCUGCCCCCACAGGGAGCAGCUGAAUCCUGGCUUUUUACCAAGCUGGCCAAGGGCCGGAGGUGCUGUGCUGCCCUUCCUCUUCCAACCAUGGUGCCUGACUGCUUGUGCAGGCUGCCAGCCCUACAUCCCAGGUCUGUUUUGCUGCGAGGAGGGAUUGAGAAUCAAUGGCAGCAAGGAACAGAAUGGCAGCAAAACAGGGGGCAAAAGAAGAGGAUCCAUACUGGAAGGGAGGUGGGAUGGAACUGGGACUUGUUCCUGGGAAGAUUCUUUUCUUCCUUAGAUCAGACAGCAUCUGCUUCUUUAUUUUCUCUACCCUCAGCGUGAUGCUUCUGGUUUACAUGAGGUUCUCCUCAUUUAUUUGGGCUGUGGUAGCACAUAGAGGCUGAGCCUGGGGAUGGGAUGCUUCUGUGCAAGGUGCCUCCUCACCCUACCCCCAGUACUAGCCCUGAGCAUGAGUUUGUUAUAAUUGUGGCACAUCCAGUGAUGGCUUUGCCUAAAAUUGCUCAUCUUGCUCGCUCAGCACAUCUGCACUUUGACAUAGUUUUAAUUACUGAUACAAUUGGUGGCUUUAUUUCAAACGUGGGUAAUUUCAUUACCAGUUUUUAUACACCUUUUUAGUUCUUUGCCCAUGAGUUUCUCAAAGCAAAAUCAAAUGAAUCACUGACAUCAUCACUGUUCUUUCCUGAAAAUGGUUAUAAGGGAUGUGGCUUAAAACCUCCGGAGAUAUCAAGUAUGAUUUCAGUAGAUGUUUUUCUUAGAACAUACUGUACUACAACAUUAUCCACCUAUCACACAACAGCCAUAACAAUCUUCCAAAAAAUAUAUAUUUUUAAGUAUGUACCCAUUUUUUUCCAUUGCUAAAUUGUUAGGGCUCAAAAUAUUCAUCACUCUGGGUGCAAAAAUUCAGAUAUACAUUUUUUUCCCCCACUGGCAGUGGGCUUCUCAUACCGAGUGCUCAUCUUUCAUUCUUAAAACAUUGAUUUCUUUUUGAGCAAUUGAAAACCACGUAGAUCUCCUAUGUAAAAAGGAAAAGACUAAAGCUGUUGUUGCAAUGGAUGGAGACAGAACGGGAGACCUUCUGAUGUGCACAGGCACAUCUUAGCACAGCACCACGCCAAACAAGUUAAUGGGCAACGUAUACAGUUCAUCCUAUGUCCAUAGUUGCUUUGAUAGCAUUUUGUGGAUAAGUGGAUUCUUAUAUUUUCUAUAAAUGGAUUCUUAUAUUUUCUAUAGAAGCAUUUUCUUGACAUAGCAAAAUUUCAUAGGUAAGUGAUGCUCCGUAAACACAUUUUACAUUGGCAUCUUACAGAGAAGCAGUGUUACAACUAAGGCAGCGGCCUUGACUCACAGGGUUAUGUGAGUGCAGUGGAAAAAAAGUUUGAAUCGUGGAAUCACAGAACAGUUUGGGUUGGAAGGGACCUCAAAGCCCUCCCAGCUCCAACCCCGUGCCAUGGGCAGGGCUGCCACCCAGCAGCUCAGCUGCCCAGGGCCGCAUCCAACCUGGCUUUGAGCACCUCCAGGGAUGGGGCACCACAGCUUCUCUGGGCAGCUGUGCCAGGGCCUCACCGUCCUGUGAGUAAAGAAUUCCCCCCCUUUAGAACUUUUGAUUUUUUUUUUUUUUAAUUAUUAUUCCCAACAAACAAUCAGUGGGAAUGCUGCAAAUUCCCGAGCUUCGUUUCUAAUGGUAAUCACCAACUUUCCUUAACAUUUCUCCUUGAAGAAGUUUCUUUUGCACGCAGCCAAAGUGACGCUCUCCCCGGAGCUGGGUGCUCGGGGCCAUUUGGCUCCACAGCGUGCUGGCACGCAGUGAAGUUUUGAUUCCGGCUGUUUUAAUUAAAGCCUAUUUCCAUAGGAUUACUCCAGCGUGGAUCAGCUCCACGGUUCUGUUUGUUUUAAUAAACUCUCAGAGCUCUCCUCCUUCUAGAGAGAGAUUGUGCUGCAAACAAGGCAGCCCUGCGGUUCGUAGCAGAAACAUGGAAAUGCUGCCGUAAAAGAUGAAAAAAAAAGAAAAAAAAAAAAGCUUUGAUGGAAUUCAUUACAAUCUAUGGACGAACAGAAACAACCUACAGCUCUAAGGCAGAUGGGCCGGCACAGGUGGGCAUGCAGCGGAGCGGGACGCCGGUACGUACCUGCAGGCAGCGCGGUGCCACGUCUCCCGGCCCGCUCGCUCCGCGGGACCUUUAUAGCGCUUUCCGGGGGCUAAAAAUAAACUUUAGGGGACGGCUAAGAGCUCGGGAGGGGGCGGCCGCGGGCUCUUACAGCGAUGCUCGAGCCACGCUCCGGCUCGGGGCCGGAGCUGCGCGGCUUCUGGGCGGUGUCGGCUGUCCUCCACCCCCCGGGCCAUCCCCCACCUGCCGCGCCCGCGGCCCCGCGUGGCUGCCCCUCGCCCUCCUCCUCCUCCCUCCGUCUCGCAACCCGCCGGGAUUGGCUGCGCUUGUGCUGGGGCGGCCCGGCUGUGGUAGGGAGGAGAAGCCCCAAGGCAUGCUUUUUUAGGCUGCGGUAAGUAAAAAUUAAUAAAUAAAUAAAUAAAUAGAAGAAAAGAGGAAAAAAAAAAAAAAAAAAAAGAAAAAACCAAGUAUCCAAAGCCUAAGCACGCACAUUCGGAGCUGCUCAACCAGUUGCAACUUCCCCGCCGGCCCGAAGGGGGGAGGGACGGGCA